rnacentral:rRNA from 1 species
CCUACGGGAGGCAGCAGUAGGGAAUCUUCCGCAAUGGACGAAAGUCUGACGGAGCAACGCCGCGUGAACGAUGAAGGCCUUCGGGUCGUAAAGUUCUGUUGUUAGGGAAGAACAAGUGCUAGUUGAAUAAGCUGGCACCUUGACGGUACCUAACCAGAAAGCCACGGCUAACUACGUGCCAGCAGCCGCGGUAAUACGUAGGUGGCAAGCGUUGUCCGGAAUUAUUGGGCGUAAAGCGCGCGCAGGCGGUUUCUUAAGUCUGAUGUGAAAGCCCCCGGCUCAACCGGGGAGGGUCAUUGGAAACUGGGAAACUUGAGUGCAGAAGAGGAAAGUGGAAUUCCAAGUGUAGCGGUGAAAUGCGUAGAGAUUUGGAGGAACACCAGUGGCGAAGGCGACUUUCNGGUCUGUAACUGACGCUGAGGCGCGAAAGCGUGGGGAGCAAACAGGAUUAGAUACCCUGGUAGUCCACGCUGUAAACGAUGAGUGCUAAGUGUUAGAGGGUUUCCGCCUUUAGUGCUGAAGUUACGCAUUAAGCACUCCGCCUGGGGAUACGGUCGCAAGACUGAAACUCAAAUGAAUUGACCGGNUGAGCGNGCGAGACGACGACGAGGAGAGG